rnacentral:rRNA from 1 species
CCUACGGGAUGCAGCAGUGAGGAAUAUUGGUCAAUGGGCGUAAGCCUGAACCAGCCAAGUCGCGUGUGGGAUGAAGGUUCUAUGGAUCGUAAACCUCUUUUAUAAGGGAAUAAAGUGUGGGACGUGUCCUAUUUUGUAUGUACCUUAUGAAUAAGGAUCGGCUAACUCCGUGCCAGCAGCCGCGGUAAUACGGAGGAUACGAGCGUUCUCCGGAUUUAUUGGGUUUAAAGGGUGGUUAGGCGGCUUUUUAAGUCCGCUGUGAAAGUCUGUGGCUCAACCCUAGAAUUGCAGUUGAAACUGGGGGGCUUGAGUGUGUUUGAGGCAGGCGGAAGGCGAGGUGUAGCGGUGAAAUGCUUAGA